UACGGAGGGUGCAAGCGUUUAUCCGGAUUCACUGGGUUUAAAGGGUGCGUAGGUGGGUCUGUAAGUCCGUGGUGAAAUCUCCAAGCUUAACUUGGAAACUGCCGUGGAUACUAUAGAUCUUGAAUAUUGUGGAGGUAAGCGGAAUAUGUCAUGUAGCGGUGAAAUGCUUAGAUAUGACAUAGAACACCGAUAGCGAAGGCAGCUUGCUACACAAUCAUUGACACUGAGGCACGAAAGCGUGGGGAUCAAACAGG
rnacentral:rRNA from 1 species